GUGCUUACUUCAGCAGCACAGAUACUAAAAUCAGAAGACUACAGAGAAGAUUAGCAUGGCCUCUGGACAUGGAUGACACACAAAUACAUAAAGUGUUCCAUAUUUUA
rnacentral:snRNA from 1 species